rnacentral:rRNA from 1 species
UGGGGAAUUUUGCACAAUGGGGGAAACCCUGAUGCAGCGACGCCGCGUGAUUUAGAAGGCCUUCGGGUUGUAAAAAUCUUUUCUAUGGGAAGAAAAUGACAGUACCAUAGGAAUAAGGACCGGCUAAUUACGUGCCAGCAGCCGCGGUAAUACGUAAGGUCCGAGCGUUGUCCGGAAUCAUUGGGCGUAAAGGGUACGUAGGCGGGUAAGCAAGUUAGAAGUGAAAUCCUAUAGCUCAACUAUAGUAAGCUUUUAAAACUGCUCAUCUUGGGGUAUGGAAGGGAAGGUGGAAUUCCUAGUGUAGCGGUGAAAUGCGCAGAUAUUAGGAGGAAUACCGGUGGCGAAGGCGACUUUCUGGCCAUAACCUGACGCUGAGGUACGAAAGCGUGGGUAGCAAACAGG